rnacentral:rRNA from 1 species
GACGAACCGUGCGAACGUUGUUCGGAAUCACUGGGCUUAAAGGGCGCGUAGGCGGCAGGUCAAGUCCGGGGUGAAAGCCCCCAGCUCAACUGGGGAAGUGCCUUGGAUACUGGCGUGCUCGAGGGAGGUAGGGGCCCGCGGAACUUCUGGUGAAGCGGUGAAAUGCGUUGAUAUCAGAAGGAACGCCGGUGGCGAAAGCGGCGGGCUGGACCUUUUCUGACGCUGAGGCGCGAAAGCCAGGGGAGCAAACGGG